rnacentral:lncRNA from 1 species
CCUCUUUCUCACUCUCGCUCUCUCGUCUACGAUCUGCGAGACAGUAAGCACGGCCAUUCUCUCACUCUCACCACCAGAAUCUCUCUCUCUCGUCUCUUUGAGCCCUUGACGUGGAGCCGACUUCCUUCCAUCGACACCAUCAACGACGCAGCCGCAACGAGAGCACAAUAGGCAGCAGGGGAAUCUUUUUGGAAGAAGAAGGCGUAGACCACUUAGCACUGAAUCGUGAACUCUCUGAACUGGUGAAGUUCAUUCGACAGUCGACGGAAGAAGAAGUUCAUUCGGUCAGUAGAAGAAGGUGAAGCCUAAAAGCCCUUUCAUUUCUCGUUUCUUUUUAUUUAUUUAGUACGAAUAAGAUGAACCUGUACAACAUCUUUGGAAGGCAGUUUAAGAUGAGUUUAAGCAGUUUAACAUAUUCGAACGUCAGCCGUGAGCAAAAUGAAUUUAUAUAACUUGUUUGAUUGCUCGAGCUUGAGGGAUUUGGAUUUAUCCAUUUUAGUCAUUUUGCCAUCAGUUUUCCGUUAAAUUUAUAUUUUUCAAGAUUUAUUUCUAUUGGGGACAAUAAUAUGCAAGUAAUUUUUUUUUUUUUUUUUUUAUCUUUGUUGUACAUUAUCAGUACUAAUUAUUUCUGCUUAUGUUUGGUGCUUAUAUUUGGUGACAGUGAUGAAAGUCAAUGAAGUAAAAGUUACUCUUAACUGCAAGUGGUUAUAAUUAUUUCUGUUGGUUCACGUUUUCUUAUUGUGUGUUUAUAGGUUCCUCUAUACUGCAUCUUAUUCCUUAUUCGAUUUUGCUAUGAAAGAAGGAUUUAAAACUUAGUGGUGAAGCUGCAGUUGAAAAAAUCACUUUGGAUGGUGUUCGAGGGCUGUGUACUAUGACGUGUAC